UACGUAGGGGGCUAGCGUUGUCCGGAAUCAUUGGGCGUAAAGAGCGUGUAGGCGGUCCGGUAAGUCCGUUGUGAAAGCCCCGGGCUCAACCUGGGAAUGGCAUUCGAGACUGUGUAGCUAGGAUGCGGAAGAGGGAAGCGGAAUUUCCGGUGUAGCGGUGAAAUGCGUAGAUAUCGGAAGGAACACCAGUGGCGAAAGCGGCUUCCUGGUCCAGCAUCGACGUUCAGGCACGAAAGCGUGGGGAGCAAACAGG
rnacentral:rRNA from 1 species